GAUGAACGCUGGCGGCGUGCUUAACACAUGCAAGUCGAGCGAAGCACUUAAGUUCGAUUCUUCGGAUGAAGACUUUUGUGACUGAGCGGCGGACGGGUGAGUAACGCGUGGGUAACCUGCCUCAUACAGGGAGAUAACAGUUAGAAAUGGCUGCUAAUACCGCAUAAGACCACAGUACUGCAUGGUACAGUGGUAAAAACUCCGGUGGUAUGAGAUGGACCCGCGUCUGAUUAGGUAGUUGGUGAGGUAACGGCCCACCAAGCCGACGAUCAGUAGCCGACCUAGGAGGGUGACCGGCCACAUUGGGACUGAGACACGGCCCAGACUCCUACGGGAGGCAGCAGUGGGGAAUAUUGCACAAUGGGCGAAAGCCUGAUGCAGCGACGCCGCGUGAAGGAUGAAGUAUUUCGGUAUGUAAACUUCUAUCAGCAGGAAAGAAAAUGACGGUACCUGACUAAGAAGCCCCGGCUAACUACGUGCCAGCAGCCGCAGUAAGAC
rnacentral:rRNA from 1 species